CACUCGUAUUUGUAUUCAACAAUGAGGAAGUGUAGUAGUAUUAUACGUUCAUCUGCUGGCUGUGGAGCAGUUAGAAGGGUCAACAUGUCAAAUCCAGAUAAAGAAAUCUCCUACAGUGAUCUCAAAGCCCUCAAAGCAGGCAGUAAAGACCUUGUGCUUGUGGAUGUGCGCUCCAAAGAUGAAGUAGACAGAGGAUGUAUCCCAGGCUCCAUCCAUAUCCCAGUACAAGAUGUGGAAAGGGAAUUCUCUCUUGAUGAACAUACUUUUCAAUGCAAAUUUGGUAUCCCGAAGCCCCAGCUGGAUAGCUGUGAUCUGGUGUUUCACUGCCAAUUGGGACGACGUGGAGAAGUUGCGACAGAGAAGGCCAGAAGCCUUGGGUUCAUCAAUGCAAAGAAUUAUGCUGGAGGUUACAAGGAAUGGUCAGAGAAGGAAGGGAAAUGAUGCUGCUCCAACACAGCACAGCUGUCCAGGACAUCUAUUAGGACAUCUAAGUAGUUUUAGUGACAGCUGGAAAAUGUGUCUCUUACAAGAUAGGAAUCCAUUUUAGCUUAGACAAACUGUAUAAUGUAGCUAUUUAUCUAUAAAAGUAUACAUAAACAUAUAUAAAUAAAAUAAUAAAUAAUUAGAACAUCUCAGGAACUGUAUGAAUGAAUGUGAAUAAAUAUUAACGUUUUUCAGGCUGUAAAAAUUAUUUAAAUUCUGAUGUUUAAGAUCAUCAGAGAUUUUUUAUUCGGAAAAAAACACCUUGAGGUUAUUGAUGGUCUGCGCAUGCGCACUACUCUGCUGUAUGGUGCUUUGUGAAAAACAGACUGUUCAUUUAUACUGUCACGAUGGCCGACAACAAAAAGAUGGACUUUUACUUUGCUCUGUGUUCUUCUUACAGUGUUCCCCUCUGGGUGGCGCCGUUACUGCACACCGCGUCCAGACUGCAGAGUGACGCAGCCAGGCGGAGGAAAGUUUACCGCCUCAUCCAGAGGAGAUUACUGCACCACGGUGUUGGAUGCGGGAAGCUGAACAAACCCACAUAUGUUUAUCCUGGAGAAGUGAAGCAGCUGAUCCGCGCCGUCUUCCCGGAGGAAAUCUGCGACUAUCACGACCCUCAACAUCAAAAUGUGGUCACUGUCACCAUGGAGGAUAUGAACAGCGUUAGUGCGCUUGAUCAGAGCAGGUGGACAGACCAAGAGCAAAUCUAAACACUUCUGUGUUUACAUUAAGAUUGCAUGUGUUUUUGGUUAGUGCAGUCGUGUUCUCCCGGUGCAUGUUUACUGGUUUUCAAUAAAGUUUGAGUAUAUAUCCAGA